rnacentral:piRNA from 1 species
UGCAAAGAAGGCUUAGCUCUACACCUG